rnacentral:lncRNA from 1 species
UUGGCGCCGCCCUCUCGCAGCGCCACUUCUUCUACCUCGAGUUGCUGCCUCUCACAGCUCCCUCUCUCUUUCUCUGGUUGUUUCUCUCAAACACAAAAGAACACCCACGCACGCACACAUGCACCAAGGGAGAAACCAGCCGCUAGCUUUGCCAAGAGGCUCUCUCCUUGGUGAAAACAAACACUACAUUGUUUCUGCCCCAGCCCUCACGGCCUCUCACCAUUACUAAAUCAGAUGACUAUUUAUACAAAGUUUGGCACUCAGCCAAGACCCACACUCACGCCAUACUCCACUAACUCCACUAAACUCUCCAUGCACUAACCACUAGCUAACACAACGGCCACUAACUUGACUCGGCCAAAUCACUUGGCUGGCCACUCACAUGAUCCUACAUGCAUGGAAACUAAACACUUUUAUGCUGACCGAAUCACUCGAUCCACUCCUCGGUAACUACCUACGACUCAACCAAGCUAGCUACAUGCAGACGCAGCCACUAAUUAUGUUCUAACAAAAUGACAAGAUUAAUAUCUGACAAUCACCACCUUAAUCUUGUCACGAGAACUCGUCAACUUGUCAAAUCCUCGAAGCAGAUCAUCUGCAACCUCUUGCCGAGACUUUGCAGCGCCAAGACCACACCACCUUGCCUCACGCUGCAGCUUCACCAUGCUGCACCAUCGAUCUCCACUUGCAUGUUCUUCAGCGGCAUCACACCACUGGUCACGUACAUCUUGCCGCCGUCGUCGCAGCAGCUCACCUUGGGGAUGGCAUCACACCACCCAAAACACCACCGUCAGCUAGCUUCACAUCUAUCCUCAUGAUGGCCUCGCACGCCGUACAUCGAUCUUCUCAGCGGCAUCUCAUCAUCGUCUUGUCGGCAUCGCACCGUCGUCGUGGCAGCAUUGCACUGCCAUCUCCUCCUAGCGGCAUCACACCGCAACCACCUGUUCGCGCGGCAUCACACCGGCGAAGACCUCCUUGUCGUGGACGACGCCGUCGCAGCGCCGGACACCACCGUGCACCAUCUUGUCGUGGUCGACGCCGUCGCAGCGCCGGACACCACCAUGCACCAUCUUGUCGUGGUCGACGCCGUCACAGCGCCCAUCACCACAUCGUCCUGCCGCACGCAGCAGCCACCUCUUGACGUGGACGGCGCCUUCGCAACGCCGAUCACCACGCCAUCAUCACCUCGCGGCAUCGCACCGAAACCGGCCAUCAGCGGUACCGCACCGCUGCCAGCCAUCACCUCGCACCGACGUCCUCCACCUCACAUGGAGUCCACCGCGUCACCACCGUCGCAGCCGUUGCCUCCGCCCAGCACCACAGCGGCCACCAUAGCCGCCGGCACCGUCGUCGCCGCCACGGAUCAACCUGGCUCUGAUGCCAAUUGUUGGCGCCGCCCUCUCGCAGCGCCACUUCUUCUACCUCGAGUUGCUGCCUCUCACAGCUCCCUCUCUCUUUCUCUGGUUGUUUCUCUCAAACACAAAAGAACACCCACGCACGCACACAUGCACCAAGGGAGAAACCAGCCGCUAGCUUUGCCAAGAGGCUCUCUCCUUGGUGAAAACAAACACUACAUUGUUUCUGCCCCAGCCCUCACGGCCUCUCACCAUUACUAAAUCAGAUGACUAUUUAUACAAAGUUUGGCACUCAGCCAAGACCCACACUCACGCCAUACUCCACUAACUCCACUAAACUCUCCAUGCACUAACCACUAGCUAACACAACGGCCACUAACUUGACUCGGCCAAAUCACUUGGCUGGCCACUCACAUGAUCCUACAUGCAUGGAAACUAAACACUUUUAUGCUGACCGAAUCACUCGAUCCACUCCUCGGUAACUACCUACGACUCAACCAAGCUAGCUACAUGCAGACGCAGCCACUAAUUAUGUUCUAACAAAAUGACAAGAUUAAUAUCUGAC